rnacentral:miRNA from 1 species
CAGUUGUAGUUGCUUAUAAACUGCAGUCUUACUAGUGAUCAGUUUGCAAGCAGGCCUGCUAGGCAGUGCAAAGAGAUAACAGGUCUAUGAGGCAGUGACUUU